rnacentral:rRNA from 1 species
UACGAAGGGGGCUAGCGUUGCUCGGAAUCACUGGGCGUAAAGGGUGCGUAGGCGGGUCUUUAAGUCAGGGGUGAAAUCCUGGAGCUCAACUCCAGAACUGCCUUUGAUACUGAGGAUCUUGAGUUCGGGAGAGGUGAGUGGAACUGCGAGUGUAGAGGUGAAAUUCGUAGAUAUUCGCAAGAACACCAGUGGCGAAGGCGGCCCUCUGGACGGUGACUGACGCUGAGACGCGAAAGCGUGGGGAGCAAACAGG